AAAGAUACCCGAGAGUGAAACGCCAAAUAUUCAACUAAGGACAAAGCAGCUAUGGCAUUAGGCAAUGAAAACAUGUACAUUGUAUUUUCAAAUAAUUUUAUUUUCAACAAAAAAUAACAUGCAUUUCAACAAUGUUUAACAGCAACAAAAAAUGUCAGAAUAAUUGCAAAACCCCGAAUCAAAGAAAAACAAUUUUAAAAUGUAAAGUCAUGCACAACCCCUUUAUGCAAUAACACCAAAAAAAAUAUCAAUAAAAAAAUAUGUUCAUAUAAAAAAAAAAUCGCUUAACGAUAAAACACAACUUUAAUAUAAUGCACCAGCGGUUAUUCAGCAGGACACACAUUUCACGGCGAUACAAGCAGUAUGUUCAUAUAAAACAAAAGUCUUUAAAAAUAUACAUUUGUCACAAC
rnacentral:lncRNA from 1 species